rnacentral:lncRNA from 1 species
UUGAUGUGAGUGAUUAUCAAUGAGAAAUAUAUUAUCUACAAUUGCGAGCGUCGGGUUGGGCGCGUGCCGACACACGUCGAAUGCAAAUCGAGAACGCGAGGCCCUUCGAGAUGUGGAUUUAUGCUCUCAUUUGGUUGAAACAUAUAUGAUUUUUAACUACAAGAUUUUUUUUUCUCCGAUGCCGGUGUUUGACAAGGCAUAACCUAACAUCAAAAUCAAAACACUCGGACGUCGGGUGCCGAUGAAAUAUUUUUUUUAUUUUUUUAUUUAUUUUUUUACAUAAAAUAACUUUAUUAGACUUAAUUU